rnacentral:lncRNA from 1 species
CAGAAAAUUGCAAUUAAAAUGCAUUACUGUUACUAUAAAUAACUGACAAGCCACCAUAUGAAUCGGUGCUUGUAAUCUGACUUUUAAAGAAUUAGGAAGUAAAGAUUUAUAAAGAGUUAAUAUUUAACACUGCAUGUCACUUUAAACACCAAUGAAGGUAUCUUCCUUGUUCCCAAGACCACUCAAUUUUACUUCUGUAAUAAUGGACUUUCCAUUAAUGGUAAGUUAUCUUCAUAUUUACAUGUUAUAUCUAAUUAAUUCUGUUUCCUCAAAAAUACAUAAAGAAAAUAAGGGAG